rnacentral:lncRNA from 1 species
CCUGAGGUUCAGGGCAGGGUGCUGGGUAGAGGCGACUAGAACAGUGACUAAGGUUCAGGGCAGGGUGCUGGGGUGGAGGGUAGCUAGUAACAGGCUCUGAGGUUCAGGGCAGGGUGCUGGGUGUAGGCCGACUAGUGACAGUGACUAAGUUUCAGGGCAGGGUAUUGGGGUGGAGGCCUACUAGUAACGUGACUAUAGCUUCAGGGCAGGGUACUGGGUGGAGGCUGGAUAGUAACAGUGGUAAGGUUCAGGGCAGGGUGCUGGGUGGGGAGGCUGAGUAACAUGGACUAAGGUCAGGC